CUUUUGAACCGGCCCCAAAUGGAUCACACCCGAAUGCAAUUUCACUCUCACCUCAAACCGACCACUAUUUUCCCCUCACAGCUACCUCGCCUGAAAUGCAAAAAUCCUCUCACGAAUCAUCUCAUGCGAGGAGAUCUAAGGCUACAAGAUUGAAGCCCACCGUACGCAGCAGAGUCGGCCGUUGCUAAAUCCUUCCUCUCCGACAAAAUCUCCGACUGUAGGGGUUCCAGCUUUGACUUGAUUUCGACAAAUUUCAGUUUCACCUCUCCACUUGCUGAUCAUUUGCAGGACCCUGAAGGUGCGUUUCUUAUACUUUAUGUGAUAGAAGCAAUUAUAUAAAUAUUAAUAUUUUUUGCAUUUCGUAGCUUGAUGCGUUGAUUUCGCUCGUUGAAUCCGAAGUGUGAGAAGGAAAGAGCUCUUAAAAUGCAACUGGAGAAAAACUACAACAAAAUAAAGUACGUUGAAGUGAUGAUUAGAGUAUUAUUGUGAUCUUCGAUUUUGGGGUAGUUGAUUAUGUUCGGUAAUUUUUCAUAGAAAAUUGAAUGACGAAGAUCACUUUUUCCAAAAUAGAGUAUAGAUAUCGUGAUAUUGGUGUUGAAUUUGAGCGAUCUACGUGAUGUUUUGGGAUUGUCUUGAAUCUAUGAUUUGGGAAUUUUGGUUUUGAGUGGAAAUUUUUUACAAACGAUUGGGGGUUUUCAGAAAAAAACUGAAAUCAUCACACAUGUUUUCUCAGUUUCCUUGUAACAAAAUUAACCGCUAGUAUUUUAGAUCAUGUUUUCUGAAUUAUGUAAUCAAUGCCUGUAGGAAGAUUUAUGCAUCAAGUUAUAAAUUUUAGUUACAUUUACGCUUUUGCAUGUUGUUUGAUACUGCAGUCCAAUCUCUUAAACAGAAAUGCCUGUAGGAUGAUACUAGUUGAUAUGGUCUUGUUUUGCUUGACAAUUUUUUAAGUAAUUUGCUAUUGCACUGGAGAUGUUUUUCCUAACAAGUUAAUAUUGUGUUCAUUUGAGUAAUGCACCAGUUUAUGCAGUGGUGAGAUUACUGUUAUCACAUUAUGCACCAAAGUUAUAUUUCAGUUUUAUGUAUUGGGCAAUGUGAUAGUAACUUCACCGUCACAUAGACUAACGCUAAAUACCAAAAAAAUUGGAUAGUAUUACUCUUAUCAUUUCAGUUCAUGCAUUUCUGUGUAGCAUGCCGGGAAAGAACUCUGGACUUUGUCAUAGCUGUAGAGGGAAGGGUCACUUGUUUGCGGAUUGCCCAAACAAAAGGCGAUGCCCCUUGUGUAAAUGUGGAAUUGUGAAGUGCUUUGAGGUCGAGAGGGAGACAAAGAACAAGGGCAGAUUGUUCGAGUGCUGCAGUGCUAAUUGUAAAUAUUGGGCAUAGGUCGAUGAGGGAGAAUCAAGCAGUGGGUCAAGUAAUGUUACCGUGAACUCGAAUAAUCAUGCAGCACUUGAAGAUGUUCAGCAGUUCUCUCACAUGUUCUAGUCUCUUUGUCACGUGGUGUCUAAGGAACGAAACAUUGAGAUUUCUUUAAAUGUGACAAUAAGGAAUGACAACGAAAGUGCAGAAGUGGAUGUGAAAGGGAAGGGGCCAGCAUGAUUUGUGGGUAGCUGAAUAAGUGAUUAGUGUAGUUGAUGUAUUUUGUUAAUAUUGGUGUUUGCACUAAGGUGUUGGCCAGAAAAUUAUUCCUCGCAAAUGGUCAUGUUGUUGUCUUCGUGUUAUGAAUUUUGUGUUGAAGUUAUUUUUAUGCAAAGCUAUUGUGUGUGAAAUAUUAUUUUUGGUUACCGUACUUAGAGCUAUGUUUGUUGAUUUUCAUGAGAAAAGAAACCUUGAAACUGAUUAUUUGGGUUCCAAAUGGAGUAGAAGUGUAAAUUCACC
rnacentral:lncRNA from 1 species